AGCAGCAGCCAUAUACUGUAACUCUGCAGCUCACAACUGGCAACCCACUGAAGCUAAGCAAGUGUGAGCCUGGUCAGUACCUGGAUGAGAGACCUCCUGGGAGAAACUAAGGUUGCUGCUGGAA
rnacentral:rRNA from 1 species